rnacentral:lncRNA from 1 species
AAACCAGCUUGUCGGCGCCAUUUUGUCUCGGCAGCGGUGGCCGUAGCUCCAUCGCAUUUUAUGUUUCUGGCGAGAAGGGAACGGAGUUUUCAUCAGGUAGAUUGGUUUUUGUGCGGCCGUCCUCCACCGUUUCCUCCAGGACAGCACCUAGUCGUGGCCGGAGGAGUCUCAGAGCUGUCAGAAAAAUAAGACUGAUUUUAUGGGAAAAUUAAGCAGAUGCUCCAGUUUGAGAAACCUGGAUCUGCGAUCUGUUUGUAGUGGUAUUCAGUUAAGAGAACAAUUAUU